rnacentral:lncRNA from 1 species
CGAGAGACGGGGCAGGCAGGGCCAGCGGGGUCUCACUAUGUAGCCCUGGCUGGCCUUGAACUCACAGCCAUCCAUCAUGCCCAGCCCAGCCUAUGUAGAUGUUGGCCUCCGCUCUGAAAAGGAAGAUCACAGGUUCAAGCUCAGCCUGAUUCUGGAUCCACUCUCGGCCACACAGCCUCGGCUCCUUGGAGAACUCCAGUCGACUAUGGCUCACAGAACACACGAGAAAGCCCUGGGCCCACAGAUGAAUGCACCCUCAGCUCCCCAAACUGAGAGAAGCCCAUGUGCAGGGCCUGUCCCCCGAGAGAGCCCAAGAGAGAAAAUCCCUGACAUCCACACUGACGGCUCCAAGCGCCCUUUCAGCACUCCCCAAACUGAAC